rnacentral:rRNA from 1 species
CAGCAGCCACGGGAAUACGGAGGGUGCAAGCGUUAAUCGGAAUUACUGGGCGUAAAGCGCACGCAGGCGGUCUGACAAGUCAGAUGUGAAAUCCCCGGGCUUAACCUGGGAACUGCAUUUGAAACUGUCAGGCUGGAGUCUUGUAGAGGGGGGUGGAAUUCCAGGUGUAGCGGUGAAAUGCGUAGAGAUCUGGAGGAAUACCGGUGGCGAAGGCGGCCCCCUGGACAAAGACUGACGCUCAGGUGCGAAAGCGUGGGGAGCAAACAGGAUUAGAUACCCGCGUAGUCCCUGUCUCUUAUAA